GAAUGCAUGGAUAGAUUGAAGCAGGUUUUAGCUCAAACCAGAGGAUCUUCCUUCACAGGAGCCUGAGUUUGGUCACAAACUUCUAUCUUAGUUCCAGAUGCUUCAUAUGCAAAGUUGAGAUCUUUGUUUUCCAACAGUUUUCUAACCAAGAAAGUCCUGAAACUGUGUGUUUGUCACAAAGCUUUCCUUCCAGACGGUGAGUUCCUCUCAUUCAUGGUUCUUAGCAGCUCCAGACCUUCCUCAGUCCUCUUGCUGGCUCCACAUGCUCCAACACAACAAACCUGGACAAACAUGAGAGGCGGAUCCUGUAAAGGAGUCAUGGUGGGAGACGGACUUUGCACCACGACUUCACAAGACGAGGAGAGAAGAUGCUGAGAUGUUUGGAACCACUCCAGAGGAAACAGAAACCCAAACACAGAUGGGCUGCCUCAUUCCGGAUCUUCUGCAGCUUCAGCAAUGACCAAAAAUGAGGCAACUUUUACAAGAGGCUAAAGAUCUGCACCUGUUGGAGUUCCUGAAACCACCACUAGGAGGACGUCUGCAGCUGCCACAGGCAGAAGUUGAGGACACGUCCUUCAGAGAACACGGACUGUGGACGUCCUGUUCAAUCCCCAUGGCGUCUCCUCAAAGAACAACCAGGAUGCUGAGCGAGAAGCAACCCCACGCAGCUCCAUGAAGACCCCUUCAGCCCCUCAGGGCCACUUAUGUCAAAGCAGGAGGCAGCCAUUGUUCCAUCAACAGUUCUGAAGAACCUGCUGGAUCAGAGGAACCACAACACUGCUGAUCUGCUGAUCCUCUUUUGGUGCUGAAAAGACGUUUUCGGUUCUGUUUGGUUGCUGUAAACGAGUCUCUAAAAGCUGAAAAAUACAGUUUCAUGUGAAGUUUUUAUUUUUCAAUCUUCUGUCCAGCAGAGAGAAAAAAACUGUUUGAACUGGUUUUACUGGAACUAGUUUAAAAUUGACUUUUUUUUUCAAAAAAUGUGUUUGUGUAACUUUUUUCCGUUUUAGUUUAGUGAUGUUAAAACUGCAUCUUUGUGUUUCUGCUGUAGGCUUUCAGUGCAGCUUCAUCUUCUGCUCUGAUUCUUUAUUUAAAACUUUAUGAUGGAACAAAUGUUUUAAAAAUUUAAAAAAGAAAAUGUAAAAACUGCAUUCUACUUAAUUAG